AAGAGUGAAACUUAAAGGAAUUGACGGGAACCCGCACAAGCGGUGGAGCAUGUGGUUUAAUUUGAAGAUACGCGUAGAACCUUACCCACUCUUGACAUCUUCUGCAAAGCUAUAGAGAUAUAGUGGAGGUUAACAGAAUGACAGAUGGUGCAUGGUUGUCGUCAGCUCGUGUCGUGAGAUGUUAG
rnacentral:rRNA from 1 species